rnacentral:rRNA from 1 species
UAACAACUUUCAGCAGUGGAUGUCUAGGCUCGCACAUCGAUGAAGAACGCUGCGAACUGCGAUACGUAAUGCGGAUUGCAGGAUUCAGUGAGUCAUCGAACUUUUGAACGCAUAUUGCACUUUCGGGUUACGCCUGGAAGUAUGUCUGUAUCAGUGUCCGUA